GGCGAGUGAAGCGGCAACAGCUCAAAUUUGAAAUCUGGCUCUUUUAGAGUCCGAGUUGUAAUUUGCAGAGGGCGCUUUGGCUUUGGCAGCGGUCCAAGUUCCUUGGAACAGGACGUCACAGAGGGUGAGAAUCCCGUACGUGGUCGCUGGCUAUUGCCGUGUAAAGCCCCUUCGACGAGUCGAGUUGUUUGGGAAUGCAGCUCUAAAUGGGAGGUACAUUUCUUCUAAAGCUAAAUAUUGGCCAGAGACCGAUAGCGCACAAGUAGAGUGAUCGAAAGAUGAAAAGCACUUUGGAAAGAGAGUCAAACAGCACGUGAAAUUGUUGAAAGGGAAGCGCUUGCAGCCAGACUUGCUUGCAGUUGCUCAUCCGGGCUUUUGCCCGGUGCACUCUUCUGCAGGCAGGCCAGCAUCAGUUUGGGCGGUAAGAUAAAGGUCUCUGUCACGUACCUCUCUUCGGGGAGGCCUUAUAGGGGAGACGACAUAUUACCAGCCUGGACUGAGGUCCGCGCAUCUGCUAGGAUGCUGGCGUAAUGGCUGUAAGCGGCCCGUCUUGAAACACGGACCAAGGAGUCUAACAUCUAUGCGAGUGUUUGGGUGUCAAGCCCGAGCGCGUAAUGAAAGUGAACGGAGGUAGGAACCCGCAAGGGUGCACUAUCGACCGAUCCUGAUGUCUUCGGAAGGAUUUGAGUAAGAGCAUGGCUGUUGGGACCCGAAAGAUGGUGAACUAUGCUUGAAUAGGGUGAAGCCAGAGGAAACUCUGGUGGAGGCUCGCAGCGGUUCUGACGUGCAAAUCGAUCGUCAAAUUUGGGCAUAGGGGCGAAAGACUAAU
rnacentral:rRNA from 1 species